UACGUAGGGGGCAAGCUUUGUCCGGAUUUACUGGGCGUAAAGAGCGCGCAGGCGGUCGGAUAAGUCGAAUGUGAAAGCCCCCGGCUCAACUGGGGAGGGUCAUUCGAUACUGUUCGACUCGAAGGCAGGAGAGGGAAGUGGAAUUCCCGGUGUAGUGGUGAAAUGCGUAGAUAUCGGGAGGAACACCAGUGGCGAAGGCGACUUCCUGGCCUGUUCUUGACGCUGAGGCGCGAAAGCUAGGGGAGCAAACGGG
rnacentral:rRNA from 1 species